AUACGAGGGGUGCAAGCGUUGUUCGGAAUUACUGGGCGUAAAGGGAGCGUAGGCGGGGAUUCAAGCGGAUUGUACAAUCCCGGGGCCCAACCCCGGCUCUGCAGUCCGAACUGGAUCUCUUGGAUAGUUCAGGGGCAGGCGGAAUUCCUGGUGUAGCGGGGGAAUGCGUAGAGAUCAGGAAGAACACCGAUGGCGAAGGCAGCCUGCUGGGGACUUAUCGACGCUGAGGCUCGAAAGUGCGGGUAGCAAACAGGAUUAGAUACCCUGGUAGUCCGCACCGUAAACGAUGCAUACGGGGUGUCCGGGGGUUCCCCCGGGUACCGUAGCCAACGCGUUAAGUAUGCCGCCUGGGGAGUACGGACGCAAGUAUGAAACUCAAAGGAAUUGACGGGG
rnacentral:rRNA from 1 species